rnacentral:rRNA from 1 species
AGAUGGCGACCGGCGCACGGGUGAGUAACACGUAUCCAACCUGCCGAUAACUCGGGGAUAGCCUUUCGAAAGAAAGAUUAAUACCCGAUGGUAUAAUCAGACCGCAUGGUUUGAUUAUUAAAGAAUUUCGGUUAUCGAUGGGGAUGCGUUCCAUUAGGCAGUUGGUGAGGUAACGGCUCACCAAACCUUCGAUGGAUAGGGGUUCUGAGAGGAAGGUCCCCCACAUUGGAACUGAGACACGGCCAA